rnacentral:rRNA from 1 species
UGCAGUCGACGAUGAACCACUUCGGUGGGGAUUAGUGGCGAACGGGUGAGUAACACGUGGGCAAUCUGCCCUGCACUCUGGGACAAGCCCUGGAAACGGGGUCUAAUACCGGAUAACACUACGGGCCUCAUGGUCUGUGGUUAAAAGCUCCGGCGGUGCAGGAUGAGCCCGCGGCCUAUCAGCUUGUUGGUGAGGUAAUGGCUCACCAAGGCGACGACGGGUAGCCGGCCUGAGAGGGCGACCGGCCACACUGGGACUGAGACACGGCCCAGACUCCUACGGGAGGCAGCAGUGGGGAAUAUUGCACAAUGGGCGAAAGCCUGAUGCAGCGACGCCGCGUGAGGGAUGACGGCCUUCGGGUUGUAAACCUCUUUCAGCAGGGAAGAAGCGCAAGUGACGGUACCUGCAGAAGAAGCGCCGGCUAACUACGUGCCAGCAGCCGCGGUAAUACGUAGGGCGCAAGCGUUGUCCGGAAUUAUUGGGCGUAAAGAGCUCGUAGGCGGCUUGUCACGUCGGGUGUGAAAGCCCGGGGCUUAACCCCGGGUCUGCAUUCGAUACGGGCUAGCUAGAGUGUGGUAGGGGAGAUCGGAAUUCCUGGUGUAGCGGUGAAAUGCGCAGAUAUCAGGAGGAACACCGGUGGCGAAGCGGAUCUCUGGGCCAUUACUGACGCUGAGGAGCGAAAGCGUGGGGAGCGAACAGGAUUAGAUACGCUGGUAGUCCACGCCGUAAACGGUGGGAACUAGGUGUUGGCGACAUUCCACGUCGUCAGUGCCGCAGCUAACGCAUUAAGUUCCCCGCCUGGGGAGUACGCCGCAAGGCUAAAACUCAAGGAUUGACGGGGCCCGCACAAGCAGCGGAGCAUGUGGCUUAAUUCGACGCAACGCAAGACUUACCA